AUGUCUUUUAAAUGCUUUGCAUUUUGGUUACUGCUGCCAUGCAGACUGCAGGCGCACAUUCCAGGGAGUUCAUAUAUGGUUUGGAAAACUUUGUCUACAAGGACAUCAAGCCUGAUAAGACAAAAAGGAUACAUUUUUGGAAAAAUUGGCAAUUCAAGUAAUAAAAAAUGUACAAGUAAAAGACAUUCAUAUUAAAUAUGAAGAUGAUGUUUUUUAGAUUGCAGCCUUGAUUGCACUUUUGUUAAAAGAACUGGUAGUAUUCACAGCCUUAAAAGCUCAAGUGGUGUGCGUUUAGUUGAAUGUUCCAACAGAGCUCAGUUUCUUCUACUUGUGGCUGUUGAAGCAGGCAGACCCCUGGUAUGAUGCUCUCUGUUGCUGAAAGAAACUCCUUUGUUGCUAUCUCAGGGUACUGAACCAUGGCUGCAAUUAGAAACCACCUGGGGAAUGUUCCUUCACAAAAUGCUGAAACCUGGAACCCUGGAGAUGGGAUUUAAGUGCUAUGUACUGGGGCUUUGGCAUUUGUGGGGUUUUUUGUUUCCCUUUCAAAGCCUAGUGAUGAUUCUUAUGCACAGCAAAGAUUAAACAACACUAAGCUGUGGUAUUCAUUGUAGUAGAUCUGUCCUUCAGUUUCAAUUUGCAAAUUCAAGAGCUCGAAUGUGUGCAUUCCUGUGUGGCUUGUGACAAAAUGUUAACAUUUUCCCCAUGCUUACUCUUUACAUUCACUAAUCAAACCUGUUUUCUCUACUACCGAAUUUAAUAUUUUCUUUUACUUCUCUUUGGGAUUGUUUCAUUUCUUAUUACACACAAAGAUUUACAACAUAUUAUUAAUUUGCUAUCAAUUGAAAAUACCUGACUUUCUGAGUGGGAACAUUAAUUGAAGUUUACUUUUUCAGGGAAUGAGAACAUAAAGUCUAAAUUACUUCUCUCCUUUAUUUUCUUUAUUCCUCUGUUGUUUGCUUUUUGGUUCCUCAUCUGAAAAGUAGGCAUUGAGAAGGAGCAGUAUAUAAACAAGUUAGGACUUGAGGAAAGAACUAUUCUGUUUUUAUCUGUAUCUCUUCUUCCCUGCCAUGUCCUUUCAUUAGUAAGGCAGCAAUAUCUAUGAAUUCUAAAAUAAUGAUUGCUUUAAGCUAGUAUGUUUUGGAUGUGGAAGCAUCUUCCAGUUUUGUAUCUUUUCAUUCUAUUAACCAGAAGUUGUAAUGGUUCUUAAA
rnacentral:lncRNA from 1 species